CAAAAUUCUUGAAUCAGAAUCUGAGUCAAGGGCCUAAGAAUUUACUUCUCAAGUUCCCAGAUGCAUUCUGCUACAAAUUGUCCUUGGUCCACCCUUGGAGACACCCUCAUCCUCAUCACCAUUAAUUAGGCUUGGGUCUCUUCAAUUAAAGCUGAGGGAGGCAUGAAGAGAAAAUGACUUUUGCAUGAGUUUCACAUUGCCCACGUCAUUCCCUUCAUGCCUCUUUUUGAUUAGUUCUUGGAGAUUCGGCCUCAGUGGAGAGCUUACAAGGGGUAUAAAGCAGCACCAUGGGCUACUAGAAAAUCCCAAGUAAUUGUGAUUUCCUGAUUUAUCCAGGCCAUGAUCCCUCUGCUGGACAAACCAGUUAUCCUGAAGGUACUAUAACCUGCAUGGGAAGAAGGAAAAGGAAGCAAGGAAAAUAAGACCAAGAGGCACAAAGGACCAGAUAUUAUUCUAUUUUAUCACGUAUUCCACAUUCCAGUGGAAGAAAACAAGAUCUGGGAACAAGCAGUCUGCAGUGUCUCCCCGCCCCCUCCCUGAGCCAUGCCUGGCCGUGCAGCAUGAAGGGGAGAGGCUGGGCUCAAUAAAUACUUACAUGAUGACAUCCUCAUCCCCUCCGCAGUCACAGCACCAGAUUUUGGAACUGAGGUCCAAAGAAGACAUGACUCUCUUAAGUUACACAACUAAAAAAAGGAAGAAAUAUCUCCCACGUGUAAGGCACUGAGUUAGCCUCUGUAUGGAAGAUAAAGUUGUUAAAUUCCUAGGCCCACCUCAGGAGCUCCUCAUCCAAUAAGGGAAACGAGGUGUUUAUAUAAGCAGCUCCAGUACAGGACAGUACGUGCUAACCAUUAAAAAUCAGACCAAUUAUAGAAAUUUGGGGGUAGAGGGGUGGCACAUGAUAAUGGUGUCCUAGGAACCUGAAAGCUGAAGCAGGUCUAGGAAAUACAUAGUAGGAUUCUGGCAGGAAAGAUGGUACAUGCCUGAGGUUGGGAAGGGGGCUGAUCACUCCGGGCAAAAGGAAUGGCCAAAGGUGAGAGGAGGUGGGAAAGCUCUGGGCCCUCACGGAACACAACAAACCAUGCUUCAUUUGGAAGCCGGUGGAGUGCUAAGUUGAAAGUUAGGGCAACUGCAUGAUUUACUGUUGAAGCAGGACUCUUUAGAGAGUGAGGAGGGAUGCAAUGAAUAUUUACACCAAACCACAGGCAGAAAGUGGGGUGGACCCAGGCCAGUGAGGAGGAAGAGUCGCUCACCAGGAGCUGGGCAGGGCCCAGAGGGUGAACGAUUUUCCAUCCCAGACAAGGGUUUGGACCUCAGGCUCCAAUUCACUGGGAAGCAGAUCAGAGCAGUCAUUUAGGGAAGAGCGGAAGUCAUUCUGUGAGAUGCUCACCACAUUGCACAGGGUACCAGGGGGAGGAAGGAGGGUUCCCGCUCUCCUGAGGCCUCUGGCUAAGCAGGGACACCCCCGCCUCCCACAUGUCCUGUUGGACCUACGACCACAUAUGCCCGGCACACUGCAUGGGACUUGAAAAGGGAGAGAAAAAAUGGGUUGAAUAAGACUUGUUUCCUUCCCUGGGGGAGCUACCAAUUUUGCUGAGAGAUAAGACUUUCAGGUAUUAAACAGGGAGCAGCACGUGAUUUGCAAACUCCAGUGUCAUCAUAUUCCAAAAGGCACAGUUGAGGCAGUGACCGCGUCUGGUGGAUAGGAGGGGAGAGGUCAGGGUGGCCUGGAUCUCAGGGAACGGAGCCAGGAGCAGGUAACCCGAGCCCAGCGGGGAGGAUUAGACUUUGGCUGGAUGGGGAGGAGGGGAGGGCAUUCCCCGCAGAUGUAUCAGAGCUGGAACAAGCAGGUCGUGUGUAAGGGACAGAGAAGAAAUGAGCUGUGUGGGGAGAGGGCCCUGAAGGACAGGUGCUGUGGGUUGGAAGCACAGAAUUCUGCUCAGGAGCGAACCGCCAGGGAAAUUCUACUUCUCCUCUUCACUCAGGUGCAGUUCUGAGCAGGUCGGGGAAGCAGGUUACAAAGUCAGUACAGCGUAUAAUGGGUAAGGGACAGGCUUAGCGGCAAGCCUGCCUGGGUUCACAUGCUGCCCGUCUACCGUGCGAUACUGGACAAGCUACUGAGUGGCUCAGGACGAUGACGGGGCCUACACCAGGGGGUGACAUGAGGAUUAUGGGCGUUAAUUCCUGUAAAGUGCUUAAAGCAGGGCCUGGCACACACGAAGCUCUAAAUCGGUAGUUCUCAGCUCUGGCUGAACCCUAGAAUCCCUUGGAGUGCUUUUAAAAAAAAUACCAGUGCCAGACGAUUUUUAGGGCAGUGAAACAAUUCUGUAUGAUACUAUAUUGGUGGAUAGAUGUCACUACGCAUUUUCCCAAACCCAUAGGUUGUACAACGCCGAGAGUGAGCCCUGAUGUAAACCCUGGACUUCGGCUGGUAACGACGUGUCGGUGGAGGCUCAUCAGUUGUAACAAACGUCCCAGUCUCAUGGGGGACGCAGACGGUGGGAGAGUCUGCGUCGGGGACAGCGGGUAGAUAUGGAAACUGUGCUUUCGGCUCCAUUUUGCUGUGAACCUAACACUGCUCGAAAAAAUAGUCUAUUUAAAAGAGGCAAAAAUAUACCAGGGCCAGGGCCCCCCCAAAAAAUAUCAAUUAAGCAGCAUCUCAGGGUGAAGGGCUUUGCCGUUGGUGUUUUUUAAGCCUCCCAGGUGACUCAGGGCUCAGAAAGCACCGAGCUAAACGAACGUUAGCUCCGGGUACCUAGCGAAGUACGUAGGGGAGCCAGGAAGUGGAUGGCAGAGGAGGGAUCUCAGCCUGGGCUUGUCCAGGGAGUGGUUUCCUGGCUUCCAUUUGGCACAAAAGUGCUGAGCUUCUGACAGCUUUUUGAGCCUCUGGGACCAAAUGCAGACCAACCAGACAUUCUGAACAAGAAAUGAGCCAACUGACUUCAGAAAGGAAAACAUUUCAUGGCCUUACUGCCAACAGGUUUAGUUAACAGACGACCGACCUCUCUUAUCAAAAGAAAACUCAAGGGUAGCCGCAAACAAUCCCCACGCACCUCACCGAUAGGCCACCAAGCCAGCCUAGGGUCCCAGAAUGUCUGCAGAAAUCUCAAGGGACAUUGUGACAAUAGAAAGACUCCUAGAUUAAACUGCAAAUCCAUCUGUGAAAGACAUGGCCUCUUGAGAACAGGACAGAGAACAAGGUACCCCUGACAUAGGCUUGGAGGACCCAGAGCUCUUUCAUAAAAGCAAGUUAGCUUAGAAUUCCGAAGGACUGAUACUGUUAAUUUAUUUAAACACCCAGCAUGCUCCAGAACAAACCUUGAUUUUCCCAUCCAAACCCGCUUCUCGUCUCAAAAAAAUAUGCAAUUCCAUUCUGCCGAUUGCUCGGGCCGCACACCCUGGAGUCGGUCCUCUACUCCCCUGAAGCAUCCGGUCCAACAGCAGCAUAUCUGGUGCUGUCAGAUGCAUCCAGAACCUGAUGGCUUCCUGCCACCUUCUCCAGGACCACCGUGGACCAAGCCCCUUCACCUCUUGUCUGAAUUACCGAGUCGCUGCCUGCAGGUCUCCCCCCACUGUGCCCUGUCUACUCUGUAGACAGAAUAUUCACACCACAGCAGCCCGCCAGCAUCCUUUUAAAACGAAGCCGGAAAAGAUCAUUUCUCUGUUUAGAAACCCUCCUGUGUGUCUGCAUCUCAUUCAAAGUAAGAGCCAACGUGCAUAGAUCAUGGCCUCCAAGACCCAACCAACCAUCUUGUCUCUGGGAUUCUUCUCCCAUGACUGUCCCCUCCCUCAACCCUCUCCAGCCACAGGGACCUUGCAUGCUCCCACCUCCGGGCUUCCUUCUGCCCUUGCUAUUCCCUCUGAUGAGAACACUCUUCCCCAGGUAAUAAUCACGCCCCUCUUCCGCUCCUGACCAUCACAUCUCUGCUCCCAGCAGCUCACUGGAGAGCACUUUCCUCCCCUGACACGCCUUCCCUCCCUGGCUUUCCUUUACUCUUUGUCACCAGACACUUUACUGGUUUUACUGGUCUGUCUAAUGUGUGACUCCCCCUCUCAUCCCUACUCCAUGAGAUUGGGGACUUCACUGUGCUGCUACUACUGUGGGUUUAAAGCCACUGCAGCAAGAGUCAACCAGCUUCCUUUCAUUUUUUUUUUUGGCCUCGCCGUGUGGCAUGUGGGAUCUUAGUUCCCCGACCAGGGAUCGAACCCGUGCCCCCUGAAGUGGAAGCGUGGAGUCCUAACCACUGGACCGCCAGGGAAUUCCCUCAACCAGCUUCCUUGAAAAAAAAAUGUAGAGAUGAAAUUUGAUCGGAGAUGUGAACAGACAGGGGAAACUGUGAUUAUAUGCCUGUCUACUGUUCCUUCAGUUGAUUUCAAACCUUCAGAAAUAGAAGUUGGAGUAGUGACAGCCAAAAAUCCUAAAUUCAGGAUUCUUACAGAAGCAGAGAUUGACAUCACCUUGUUAUACUAGCAGAGAGAGACUAAACGUUGUAGUCAGUUUACCAAAUGAUGCCACUUGCCUGUGUGUUUGGUCAGGACAGAACAACAUUAUGGAGGCCCUUGGAUUGAAAAAGAACCCCUCUCACUCCUCCUGCCUCCGAAGUG